CACACAGUCCCCUGAUGCUAUAACAUCAUGGAUUUCUUUUGUCCAGUGAGAGGCCCAAAAGCUGCAGCAUAGACAAUAUCAUAGUGUAGAAGGUUCACUAGACCGUGAUCAUGGGCUACAUUCUCCGUACCAGCUUCAUAGCUCCAGUGAGAAAAUAAAUUCCUGCAUCCAGGAGAUGUGGAGUAAGAGAUACAGCUGCCCUUGACCAUAUUUCUUACUUCCGAGAAGAUCGUAGCAGUAAUUCAGAAUCUCAUCCAGGAUACCUCAUCACAGGCUGGAGUGCAGUGUCAUGAGCUUGGCUCACUACAGCCUCCAUCUUCUGUGCUUAAGGAUCCUUCCCUCUCAACCUCCAAGGUAGCUGAGACUACAGGUAUGUGCCACCAUGCUGGACUAAUUUAUUGUUGUUGUUGUUGUUUGUUAGAUUUUUGGUAGAGGCAAGGUUUCACCAUGUUGCCCAGGCCAGAGUCAAACUCCUGGGCUCAAGUGAUAUUUAUUUUGUUAUAGAGAUGGGGUCUUAAUGUGGUGCCCAGGCUAGUCUGGGAUUACAGGUGUGAGCCACUGUGCCUUGCCAAAAACUGCCAUUCUCAUCAUAUCGUACCAAGAGUACAAACUCAACAAGGGUACAAACUGUCAACCAGAGUAGACAUUCAUUAUUGGCAGAAUGUCUACAAAUUCCUUUAAACCUUCACCAUAAACAUGUGCCUACUCUCUUCCAAUUAUUUCAUGUGUAUUAAUUUAUUCAUUUAUACAUGCAUCUUUUAUUUAUAUCAUUAUCUAAAUAUGGAGAUUUAUUUUACAAUGCGUAUGUGCUAUUUUUUUUUUUUUGAGACAGAGCCUUUCUCUGUUGCCCAGGCUGGAGUGCAAUGGUGCGAUCUCAGCUCAUCGCAACCUCUGCCCCCUGGGUUCAAGCGAUUCUAGUGCCUCAGUUUCCUGACUGGCUGGGAUUACAGGCAUGAGACACUACACCUGGCUAAGUUUUGUGUUUUUAGUAGAGACAGGGUUUCACCAUGUUGGCCAGGUUGGUCUUAAACUCCAUACCUCAGAUGAUCCACCCUCCUCGGCCUCCCAAAGUGCUGGGAUUACAGGCAUGAGCCACCAUGCUUGGCCGCUAUUUUUUUUUUUAAUUGCACAAAUUGUUCCAGUGUUGGCUAUUGGAAGGUUUUUAAGUUGUCUCUUGUAUCACUUUGAAAUACCUCCAUAAUUAAAGUUUGAUGUUGUGUGGUUGGUUGGUUUUGUUGUUGUUUGGCAUUUUCUUUUGUUCAGUCACUAUUAUAUGCUCCAGUCUAUGAAUUUAAUUGUGCUCCAGGGUAAUUUGGUAAUUUUAUAAUUUCUACGAAUGUUUCCAACACCAUAUGACCUAAUCCAGCACCAUAUAAAUGGAUCCACUCAUUCUCUCAUUUGUAUGUAAUCUAGCACUCCCUGCAAGCAAGUUGAUGUUGUUAAUUUAAUCAUGCUACCUGAACAAGGUAUAUUGCUAUGUAGAAAAAUACAAGUUGAAACAGUCAAAAUACUGUGUAAUUCCAUUCAUAUGACUCUGUAGAAAAGGAAAAAGUGUAGUGAUAGUAGAGUUCAGUGGUAACAAGGGGCUUGGGAGAGAUAUAGGUGACAUCAGUGAACUACCGAAGAUUUCUUUUGGGCAGUGAAAUUCCUCUUUGAUACUGUAACGGUGGAUACAUCAUAAUGUUUUCCAAAUCCUGAAGAACUUUGUAACACAAAGAGUGUAGCUAAUUUAUGCAAAUUAAAAACCUUAUUUAGGAGGUCACAAGUUUGCCUUUUCACAGUAUUUUACCUUUUCCAACUUAUAUUUUUUAGCAAUAUGCUUUUUAGAUUUUUGAAGUACACCUCAUGGUUUUUAGAUUUGCCUUCACCUAAUUGUUGUAGGACAGGUGAGUCACACAAUUGGGGCUUAUCCUGAGAGGGUUAUUAGCUUUGUCCAGGAAAGAAUUUAAGGGCAAGUGGGUGAUGUUAGACUGCAAUAUUUUAUUGAAUGGUACUGCUCCUAGCAGAGCAGGGCUAACUCUUAAGCAGUGUGUUCAGAGUUGGCAACAUAUAGGCCUCCUGGCAACUGUGUUUAUAUGCAAUCAAACCCACUUUUAAUUAUAUGCAAAUUGAGGGGCAGAUCAAUGCAAAUUGAGGCAGGAAAGGGGCAGUGACUUCUAGGUUGUCUCCAUGGAAAGGGGCAGUAACUUCUGAGCUGUAGCCAUGGAAUUUGUAAACAGUUAUGUGGUUGGUAGGAGUGUCAUAUGAGUGACAAAUGAAGACUGCCAGGGAUCACAUUUACCACAAUGUACACGCUUCUGUCAGUUUUUUCCCUUUAUCCUGUCUGGAGCAGAUCUUAUUUUGGUCAUCAAGGUUGUGAAACCAGAAAACAAGUCCUUCCAGUCUCCUACCUCAUAAUGACAAAAGACAUUGAGCAUAAUUUCAUGUGAUUUUGGAUAUGACUAUGGCUUUCUUUUGAGAGUUGGCUAUUUAAGAUUUUGCCAUUUUUGAUUGGGAUAUUUGCCUUUUUAAUUUUGAGUUGUAAGACAUUGUAUAUUCUGGAUAAUAGACCAUUAUCACCUAUAAAAUUUGCAAUUUUCACAUAUUUUCUGCCAUUCUUUGGGUGCCUCUUUAUAUUUGAUGGUGGACUUUAAAUUGCAAAAGAUUUUAAUUCUAAUGAAGUUUAAUAUUUCUAUAUUUUCUUCUUUCCUUUGUGCUUUUCAGUGUCAUAUCUUAAAACAUUGUUUAACCAGAGACCACAAAGAUGUAUUCCUGUGUUCCUUUUUAUGGGUUGGCCCUGUUUAGCUCUUAUAUUUAGAUGGAUUAUCAUUUUGAGUCAAUUAUGUUUCUGGUAUGAGGCAAGAGUCUAACUUGCAUGUGGAUAUCCACUUGACCCACAAACAUUUGACAAGAAAAUAUUGCUUCAUACCUAAUUUAUUUGGCCACAGUAUAAAAGCAUUUCACCAUAAAUGUAGGGAUUCAUUUUUCAGUAUUAUAUUCUCUACUCCAUUGAUCAAUACAUAUAUCCCUAUACUAGUACCACAAAUCUUGAUUACUAUUACUUUGUAGUAAGUUUUGCAAUCAAGAAGCAUAUGUCUACUAUGCAAACCCUUUUUGUCCUUCUCAAGAGUGUUUUGGCUGCUCAUGAUCUAUAUUAUAUAUAAUUUUAGGAUAAACUUCUGAAUUUAGGGGAAGGUAAUGCCACCUGGUGUUUUGAGAGAAGUUGCAUUAAUUCUAUAGAUCCAUUUGGAAAAUAUUGCCAACCUAACAAUAUGCAUUCUGUAGUUUUUAGUGUACAUAUCUUAUACUUAAUUUGAUAAGGUUAUUCCUAAGUAUUUUUGAUGUGAUCUUAAUUGGAACGAUUUUCUGAGUUUUGUUUUUAGAUUGUUAAUUGCUAGUAUAGAGAAAUUUAAAAUAUUUUAUAUAUUUUAUAUGCUGCAAACUUCUUUGAACUCAUCUUUAAAUUCUAAACAUAUUUGAUAGAGUCCUUUGGACUUUUUAUACAUGAGAUCAUGUCAUUUGCAAACAGUCGGAGUUUGACUUCCUUUCCAUACUAGAAACGUUAUAUUUAUUUUUCUAAAUGAAUUGCCCUGUCUACAUUCUCCAGUACAAUGUUGCGAACAAGUGUCAACAGUGGAAAUAUUUGACUUCUUUCUAAUAUCAGAGAAAUUAGUGAACCUUUCAGAUUACUUAUGAUGAUAUGUGAGCUUUUCAUAGAUGCCCUUUGAAAUGAAGAAAGUUCUCUUAUCUGCCUAAUUUGCUGCAUGUUUUUAUAAUACUGAAUCUGGGAAUUUUCAAGUGCUUGUUGCACACCUUCUGAGACGAUUGUGUAGUUUUUAUUCUUUAUUAAUAUAGUGUAUGACAUUAAUUGUAUCAUAUGUUGAACCAAAUUUGCAUUCCUGAGGUAAAUACCUUUUGCCAUAGUUUAUAAUACUUUCUACAUGUUGCUGAUUUCAUUUGAUAAUAUCUCGCUGCUGAUUUUUGUCUCUGUAUUUAUAAGGCAUAUUGGUCUUCAUUCUCCUUAUUUGAAAUGUCUUUGUGUAGUUGUUCAAUCAGGGUAAACUAAUUCAUAGUAUACAAUGGGAAGUGAUCUAUUUUCUACUUCUUUAUUAUUAUUGUAUUGUUUUGAAAUAUUUUUGAUAAAUUAGUAUUAAUUUUAAGUGAUUUUAAUAACACAUCAAUGAGUUCCUGAUGAGGGCAGGGAGGUGAAUCCUAAGAACAAUCAUGUGAGUUUGGAAGGAGACCCUUCCCCAGCUGAGCCUCAGCCUGAGCCAUCCCCUACAUCUAGACCGAAGACCCAGAGAAACCGUGAGUAGUAUGUGUGUGGUUCUGAGCCACUAAGGUAUGUAGUAAUUUGUUAUGCACCAAGUAGUAAGUAAUAUACCUGACAGUAAUUGUUAGGUGGUAUUCUGGAUUAGGUCCUGGAAUAGAUAAGUAUAUGAUUAUUAGAAAACCUGGUAAAAUAUGAAGGAAGUUUGUAGAUCAGUUAAUAGUCUUGAAAAACAGUUAAAUUCUUAGUUUUCAUGAAUAUGCUAUGGUUACAAUAUAUAUUAACAUUCUAGUUAUCUGAAUGGUAUAUGAAACUGUCUGUACUUACCUAUGUGCAUUUAUGUAAAUCUGCAGUUAUUUCAAAAUAAAUAUGUUUUUUAAUAUUAUUAUUAUUUUUUUAAGAAAAGUAAGCAAGUAAAGACAUCAGCAAAAAACUUUUGCCUCCAGAUACAAGUGGGCAUGUAGGGAGAGAAUAGUAAACUGGCUUUUCUUUUCUUUUCUAGGCAACAUUCGAAACCCAGGUGCCACUCCUUCAGGAAGGUACCAUCAAGCUCCAAGGACUCAUCCUCUUUCUCCUUCCCCACUACCUAGUCAUUAGAGCGUCAGCAUCCACUUCCUGAAAGGAAGAUGCCUGUUUUUCACAUAUCCCAGAAAGCCUCAUUUUAGGACAGCAUUUAGCAGAGUGUAUUCAGGAUCCCACUAACCUUUUCGGAAGACAUGACUUCCAGAUGAUAUAAGGCAAGAAUAAGAAAUUUCAGUGACAGGGAACAGAAAUCAUAUUUCUGCAUUCAGGAUCAUGUUUUCUUGGCUCCAUCAGGAACUGUGCAGGACUGUGCACUCUGUUGAUACUCACAUGGUGGAAUUAUAUUGCCCUUGGCCAACCCUAAAGCCAUCAAGAUAGCAGAAUUAAUGAAGGAUCAUUAUUAAGUUUUUAAUGGGUCAAGAGAAAGUUACCACUGAGGUCUUCUCUACCUGGGCAACAAUUGACUCCUAACAACCACUAUAAGCUUGGAAGAUGAUCCCUCCCCAGCUGAUCCUUCAGGAAUUUCCACUGAAGUACCUCUGGUUGAAAAGGAGAACAGAGACUUUUUUCACAGCCACAGGACAAAAUUUGUUCAGAAUUAAAUGCUGAAAAAGGAGAACCUGACACCAUUAUUCAUAAUUUCACUGUAUAUGAAGAGCAACCCUAUACUCCAUACAAACAACAUAGACUGUGGAAUUAUGUUGUGAAAUGUAAAGAGAAGAUGAUUCCCAAAUUUAAAGGAAACUGGAGGUGUUCUGGAGAAACAAAUAGAGGCUGGAGUGCCGUGGCACAAUUAUGGUUCACCAGCCUCAACCUCCUGGGAUCAAGCAAUCGUCUCACCUCAGCCUCCUGAGUAGCUGGACUGCAGG
rnacentral:lncRNA from 1 species